rnacentral:lncRNA from 1 species
UCUGCUCUCUUCAAGUCCAAGCCCAAUUCUGGAUUCAAGCCCAAUUGCUUAUAAUUCUCCUGAAAUUAAAUUAAAAACACAAAAUUAGUCCAAUAGGCCCAAAUGAUAAAACUGCAUAAUUAAUUUGACAAUUAAAACUAAUCAGUAAUUAAAAUGGUGCAAAAAGGGUUAAGAAAUAGGAGAAAAUAAUGGCACAUCACACUUACAUUAUGCUCACUCCAUGUUGGGCUUCCAACUUGCUUGGUGGUGUUUCUAUAAUGUGUGGAUACAUUUUGUGAAUGUCAAGUUGGGUCUCUGACUUGCUUGACUUCACAAAUUUUUCCACAAACCCAAAAUUCUCUUUUUCAUGUUUUGUGCACUCCAUGCUAGGUCUCCAACUUGUUUGGUGGUGUUUCAAUAAUGUGUGAGUAAAUUUUGUGAAUGUCAUGUUGGUCUCCGACUUGCUUGAUUUCACAAAGUAUACCACAAAACUAAAAUAUUUAAAAAAAAGGUAAAAAUACUCAAACAAAUGAUCACUCAAUUCUCCUUUUCUCCAUAAAAUUAUGCAUUACUGGAGAUCGCUUCAAGGUCCAAUGCCUUAAGCAAUUCUCUCCACUAUUCUCUUAAAAUUCAACAUUAUUUCAAGGUCCAACGCUUUAACAACUCUUUUUUUUACUCAAUUAAAACAAACCUUUCAAAAAAGAUAAAAUCAAUCAAACACAUAAGUGUGGAAGCAAAGCUUCAUGAUGAAUCAACAAUGAUUCAAAGGUGUUUUGAUGAUAACAAUGAUGACAACAAAAGAUGAUGACAAAAGUGAUGAACAAAAAGCUCAAGUGAAUCAAAGAACAUCUCAAGAGAAUCAAGAAUCAAGAUCAAGAUUCAGGAAUCAAGAAUCAAGACUCA